GGUGAGGAUUCUGGGAAAUGUUGGAGGGAUGUGAGUAGAGGAAAGCCAUGAUCUGGCUUUUUCCUAGGAAACCCUCAUCCCAGCUGCUGUGUUGAGAGCAGACCUCAGAGGAGCAAGUGAGAAGCCCUCUCAGCAGGUCAUUGCAACAAACCAGCUAUCCAGUUCAUAGUCGUGAGUGCCUCUGGUUGUGCUGUGUGGGAUGCCACCUCAGCACGGCUUGAUGAGUGGUGCCAUGUUGCACCCAGGAUCCGAACUGGCGAAACCCUGGGCCGCUGAAACGGAGUGCGUGAACUUAACCACUCGUCCAGGGGGCCGGCCCCAGAGCAGCGCAGCCCUGUCUUCAAACUGGAAGGAAGCCCAAUGUACAAAAUCCACACACCUGGGCUCUUUGGCUCAAGUAAGAGCAGCAGGAGCCCCUCACGUCCCAGAGCCGCUCAAGAAGCCCCCAGGAGCACGGUGCGAAGACCCCUCCUUUGGGCCAAGGUCUAGGGGCUUAAGGUCAUGUUAGCAUUUUUGUGCCUAGUGGUGGAGGGAAGAUUCAAGGGUGAUGAUAAAGCAUGGAGAUCUUCUGGAAGACUGGUUAGGGCCUGAGUUAGAGAAAUGAAGCUUGGGGUGAAAAGGAGAUGAAUGAACUGAGGAGUAUUUCAGGUUGAAAAUCAGUGAUAUUUGUUGAUUGAAUGCUGUGCGUGAGGGAGUAGGGUGGCUUGUGGGAACCAUGACAGGAGCUAACAUUUAUUGAGAUGGCACAUAUGCUCUACACUUUACAUUAUCACAGUGACUCCAGGAGGUGUGUACUCUUUCACCCCCAUUUUAAAGAUGAGAAAACUGAGCCGUGGAGUUCCGUAAAUAGUUGAGCUGGAUUCCAACCCAGGCAGUCACGCUCCAGCGCCUGCACUCAACUAUCUCUCGUAAUGUUGGUGACUGACCCUCGGAUAGAUAGUGGUCAGUGGUCAGCAGCAUUUGAAAGUCCAGAAGUGUCAUUGCUCUGCUGCUAAUCUGCUUGUGGCUUUGGACAAAGCAGUAACCUUGUAGUUUCUCAUCUAUAAAAUGGGGACAAUAAUCACCUAUGCUACUGAACUCAUGUGGUUUGAGAAGUUAUAAAGGACUUUUAUUAUUGCCCAAAUUCAAAGUCUAUCCUGCAGAUAAAUUCUACAUUUUUCAUAUAUUACUGCAAUAAAUUCAGGAAGCUAUCUGAAAAUUUCAGUUCAUUUGAAAUAUUUUAAGGUACCUUCCCCUAGCUUUUUAACUGGCUUGCUGAAAUUGUGUUAUCCAAGUAAUGACAUCUGAUUAAGCAAGCUUGACAUAUUGAGAGAUGAUUAUGGGGAACAAUUAUCAAUGUUAAUUACCUUUGCUAUAGGAUACAACAUAAAGCCCAGAUUCAUUCAUUAGUUUUCAUUAUUUAUCUGUUUGUUUGCUAUUCAUUUAUUUAACAAAUAUUCCUUGAGCGUCUACGAGGUGCCAAGCAUCAUAGUAAGUGCUAGUGAUGCCCUGGUGAUGAGAGUGGCCGAUGGCUGCCCUAUGGCCCUCCAUCAAGAAGAGAAUACAAGCACCUUCAAUCACCUCCUGUCUGCUCUUCGACUCCCAGCUCACUGGCUUUGGUUAAGCCUCUCAGGUUGUGCUCAGGGCCAUCACAGGGCUUUCGGGCCUGCUGUUCCCUCUGCCGUGAAUGCUAUCUUGGGCCCUGUGUCCGGGGCCCCCAAGACCACCCUUGGGGACUUGCUAGAAGAAGUCACAGAACUCACAAAAGCUGUUCUGCCCAUGAUUAUUGUUUAUGGCAGUGGAAAGAAACAGACUAAAAUCAGAAAAGGGGAAAGGUUCACAGGGCAGAGUCCAGGAGAAAGCAGGCACAGGUUUCCAGGGGUCCUUCCCGGUGGAGUUGUGUGAACGCUCUUCAUCCUCCCAGCAGCAAUGUGUGAAACAUGAGGGAAGUGAUGCCAACCAGGGAAAUUCAGCCCAGCGAGUGUCGAGGGUUCUGAAUUGAGGGUCGGUAUGUAGGCUUGCAGCACCUGUGUGGCCAACCUCAGCUACUCAGACUCCAGCCUCCUAGAGCGAAAACUUGGUGUUCACCAUAAAUCUCACUGUUAGCAUAAACUAUCUGACCAGACUGGUCCCAUGUGGCCCAAGGCCUCAGGCAUACAGAAACACUGUUGUAAGGCAGAAUAUUCCAAGGGCGCAGAGCUCAUCUUCCAGGGCCAGUUCUGAAGAUAGGACUUUCUUGAGAAUGAGCAGGGUUUGAACAACCCAGGUCUGCUGACUUAACCCUUUCCUGCCCAGACC
ensembl:lncRNA